rnacentral:rRNA from 1 species
UACAGAGGUCCCAAGCGUUGUUCGGAUUCAUUGGGCGUAAAGGGUGCGUAGGCGGCGCGGUAAGUCGGGUGUGAAAUCUCGGAGCUUAACUCCGAAACUGCAUUCGAUACUGCCGUGCUUGAGGACUGGAGAGGAGACUGGAAUUUACGGUGUAGCGGUGAAAUGCGUAGAUAUCGUAAGGAAGACCAGUGGCGAAGGCGGGUCUCUGGACAGUUCCUGACGCUGAGGCACGAAGGUCAGGGGAGCGAUCCGG